CCAAAAAAAAGACAAACCUUUCCGUGUUCAACAUUUGACCGUCCGUCUUAUUUAAAAAAAAUAUAAAAAAGUAAAAAGACAAGUCAUGCAUAAAGUAUUAAUCAUGUUUUAUCAUCUAACAACAAUGAAAAUACUAAUUAUAAAAAAACUCAUAUAAGACGGACAGUCAAACGUUGGACACAAAAAUUUAGGGUUUGUUUUUUU
rnacentral:pre_miRNA from 1 species